GGUCAGUGAUGAGCUGUAAAAGGUCUGAUUCCCACAAUCCUCUGCUGCCUCCGGCUCCCAGCAGCUCGCUCUCUGCUCCCAUCAUGCUCCAGUCAUGCAGCCAUGGGCCCAGCAGCUGCUGACACACAGGGUGUGACAUCACACAGGAUGUGACAUCACUGAGAGGCUGAGCUGAGAACCUGUAGCCUCCCUGUGAUGUUGAUCCAACAUGACCAAUUAGGGAGGAGCGUCAGGAGGCGGGAAGGAAGAGGAAGAUGAUCUCAAGUUUUCAAGCUGAGACC